rnacentral:antisense_RNA from 1 species
CGGUACGACAUUGCUCACAUUGCUUCCAGUAUUAUUUGCCCGCCACUAUGUGCGGGCUUUUUUUU